UACGGAAGGUCCGGGCGUUAUCCGGAUUUAUUGGGUUUAAAGGGAGCGUAGGCCGGAGAUUAAGCGUGUUGUGAAAUGUAGAUGCUCAACAUCAGCACUGCAGCGCGAACUGGUUUCCUUGAGUACGCACAAAGUGGGCGGAAUUCGUGGUGUAGCGGUGAAAUGCUUAGAUAUCACGAAGAACUCCGAUUGCGAAGGCAGCUCACUGGAGCGCAACUGACGCUGAAGCUCGAAAGUGCGGGUAUCGAACAGG
rnacentral:rRNA from 1 species